rnacentral:ncRNA from 1 species
AAAAUGAUGAUGAAGGGAAGAGUACAUUUAACGAAACUUUCAGAGAGUCGGGGGGCUGAGAAACCGGCAGUAUAGUUAUUUGGAAGAACAUCCUGGAGUAGUUAACCCAAAUCUAAUUUUGAAAUUUGGAAAGUAGGCUUAAACGGCUGUCCACCGUUAAAAGGAAUAAGUAUCGGUAAGUUUUAAAGUUAUUAAAAGCAACUUUUAUUUAUAGAAUUUACCCGUACCGAGUUUGAGAUGGCUUCGGCUAAUUAGGGUGGCACCGCGAAUAUAUCCGCCCCUAUA